AAGGAUCAUUAAUGAAUUUGUCUUUGGACAUUAUUUCUUUAAACACUUGUGAACUUAUAUGUUUUUGCUUUGGCUAGUCAUUGGCUGGCCAAAAGAUUUUUACAAACACCUUUUAUCAAGAAAUUUAUUUUGAAACUGAAUUAUAUUAAUUAUUCAAAACUUUCAACAACGGAUCUCUUGGUUCUC
rnacentral:misc_RNA from 1 species